CAUUCACACAGUCCCUCUACUAUGGGUCUAACAGGGGAGUGGACAUUCACACAGUCCCUCUACUAUGGGUCUAACAGGGGAGUGGACAUUCACACAGUCCCUCUACUAUGGGUCUAACAGGGGAGUGGACAUUCACACAGUCCCUCUACUAUGGGUCUAACAGGGGAGUGGACAUUCACACAGUCCCCUCUACUAUGGGUCUAACAGGGGAGUGGACAUUCACACAUCCCCUCUACUAUGGGUCUAACAGGGGAGUGGACAUUCACACAGUCCCUCUGCUAUGGAGUCAAACAGGGGAGUGGACAUUCACACAGUUCCUCUUCUAUGCAGUCAAACAGGGGAGAGGACAUUCACACAGUCCCCUCUACUAUGGGUCUAACAGGGGAGUGGACAUUCACACAGUCCCUCUACUAUGGAGUCAAACAGGGGAGAGGACAUUCACACAGUCCCCUCUACUAUGGGGUCUAACAGGGGAGUGGACAUUCUCACAGUCCCUCUACUAUGAGUCUAACAGGGGAGUGGACAUUCUCACAGUCCCUCUACUAUGAGUCUAACAGGGGAGUGGACAUUCUCACAGUCCCUCUACUAUGAGUCUAACAGGGGAGUGGACAUUCACACAGUCCCUCUACUAUGGGUCUAACAGGGGAGAGGACAUUCACACAGUCCCUCUGCUAUGUGUCUAACAGUGUAGAGGACAUUCACACAGUCCCUCUACUAUGGAUCAAACAGGGGAGUGGACAUUCACACAGUCCCCUCUACUAUGGGUCAAACAGAGGAGUGGACAUUCACACAAGCUUCCCACAAUAAGUUGGGGGAAUUUUGGCCCAUUCCUCCUGACAGAGCUGGUGUAACUGAGUCAGGUUUGUAGGCCUCCUUGCUCGCACACGCUUUUUCAGUUCUGCCCACAAUUUUUUAUGGGAUUGAGGUCAGGGCAUUGUGAUGGCCACUCCAAUACCUUGACGUUGUUGUCCUUAAGCCAUUUUGCCACAACUUUGGAAGUAUGCUUGGGGUCAUUGUCCAUUUGGAAGACUCAUUUGCAACCAAGCUUUAACUUCCUGAACAAUGUCUUGAGAUGUUGCUUCAAUAUAUCCACAUAAUUGUCCUGCCUCAUGAUGCCAUCUAUUUUGUGAAGUGCACCAGUCCCUCCUGCAGCAAAGCACCCCCACAACAUGAUGCUGCCACCCCCGUGCUUCACGGUUGGGAUGGUGUUCUUUGGCUUGCAAGCCUCCCCCUUUUUCCUCCAAACAUAACGAUGGUCUUUAUGGCCAAACAGUUCUAUUUUUGUUUCAUCAGACCAGAGGACAAUUCUCCGAAAAGUACAAUCUUUGUCCCCAUGUACAAUUACAAACCGUAGUCUGGCUUUUUUUUGGCGGUUUUAGAGCAGUGGCUUCUUCCUUGCUGAGCGGCCAUUCAGGUUAUGUCAAUAUUGGACUCGUUUUACUGUGGAUAUAGAUACUGUUGUACCUGUUUCCUCCAGCAUCUUCACAAGGUCUUUUGCUGUUGUUCUGGGAUUGAUUUGCACUUUUUCACACCAAAGUACGUUCAUCUCUAGGAGACAGAACGCGUCUCCUUCCUGAGCCGUAUGAUGGCUGCGUGGUCCCAUGGUGUUUAUACUUGCGUACUAUUGUUUGUACAGAUGAACGUGGUACCUUCAGGCAUUUUGAAAUUGCUCCCAAGGAUGAACCAGACUUGUGGAGGUCUACAAAUGUAUUUCUGAGGUCUUGGCUGAGUUCUUUUGAUUUUCCCAUGAUGUCAAGCAAAGAGGCACUGAGUUUGAAGGUAGGCCUUGAAAUACAUCCAUAGGUACACCUCCAAUUGACUCAAAUGAUGUCAAUUAGCCUAUCAGAAGCUUCUAAAGCCAUGACAUAAUUUUCUGGAAUUUUCCAAGCUGUUAAAAGGCACAGUCAACUUAGUGUAUGUAAACUUCUGACCCACUGGAAUUGUGAUACAGUGAACUAUAAGUGAAAUAAUCUGUCUGUAAACAAUUGUUGGAACAAUUACUUGUGUCAUGCACAAAGUAGAUGUCCUAACUGACUUGCCAAAACUAUAAUUUGUUAACAAGAAAUUUGUGGAGUGGUUGAAAAAUAAGUUUUAAUGACUCCAACCUAAGUGUAUGUAAACUUCUGACUUCAACUGUAUCUAUACUGAUGUGUCUCUGAGGUGUUGUACUAAAGAGGAAAACCAGUGGAUUGUGUUGAGAUGCAGUCAGUUCUACUGUAGUAGGCCUCAGAUAGACUCUUCCUCUGGGGAUAACCUAGCAGUUUUAGGAGACCUCCCCCUCCCUUUUACCCACCUUCACUUCCCUAUCCCCACCAGGAGAGCCCCGGAACAGAGCCCCGGAACAGAGCCCCGGAACAGAGCCCCGGAACAGAGCCCCGGAACAGAGCCCCGGAACAGAGCCCCGGAACAGAGCCCCGGAACAGAGCCCCGGAACAGAGCCCCGGAACAGAGCCCCGGAACAGAGCCCCGGAACAGAGCCCCGGAACAGAGCCCAGGAACAGAGCCCAGGAACAGAGCCCAGGAACAGAGCCCAGGAACAGAGGAAAGAGGAAUAGAGGAAAGGAUAGAUGGAUAGAGGAAGGAUAGAGGAGAGGAAAGAGGGAUAGAUGAGAGGAAAGAAGGAUAGAGGAGAGGAAAGAGGGAUAGAGGAGAGGAAAGACGGAUAGGGGAGAGGAAAGAGGGAUAGAGGAGAGGAAAGAAGGAUAGAGGAGAGGAAAGAGGACCACUUGUCUGUCCCACCAACAACCCAAAAUGAUUUCACAAAAAGACUUGGAACCCCUUUUCACAAUUGUCCCUACAUUGUCCCCCUCCUCACCCCUCUCCCUCCUCCUACCCCAGCCCCCUUCCCUCUCCUCCACAGCUGCCCCUACCUCUCCUCUCCUCUGACUCUCCGUUGUGGAUGAAAGGCCCAUCAAAAGUAUCACUGGCUGCAUUUACAAGUGAAUGAGGCCUAAUAAUGGAGCAGUUAGGGGGAGAAUGGGCCGAGUCCCGGGAAGGCUCACAGAUGUU
rnacentral:lncRNA from 1 species